rnacentral:lncRNA from 1 species
UCAGCUUGUAAUCGGCUAGCUUCAAGGCAGAGUGGCAGAGGGGCAACAGUUCAUGGUGGUGGAAGACAGUAGAAGCAACAAAGGAAGGAGAGGGACCCUCAACAGCAUCUUGCUGCCCCCUUUAUCUUAUGCAGAUCACUUAGGGCGGGCAGGACUCACUCCCUCCCUCCAUCCUAGUGCCCUUGAGCCUAGCAUCGCACCCAGGAAUCUAUUCCAGAAAAAGCCCAACCUACAACUGCAUGAGGCUUUGGGGGAACAACAAGACACAGCCAUAACAGUGCUCGAUGCAGAAGGCCUCGUCUGCAGCGUGGUCAGCACUUGGGCCAUCCCCCCGCUCGGAGGCCCUGCUCUUCAGCAGGGUAAUGUUCUUGGUCUGGGCUCCCUCCAAGGAGAUCACCCGGAAGCGGAAAUGUAA